CAGCUCGUGCCCCCGCGUCUACCAACGAUCGAGAAGGAGAGCGCCCCCCCCUCCCUGAUGUCGGUGUGUGUUUACCUCACUCGUUUAGCACAAACAAAAGCUAUGAAGAAAGAGUGCAAUGCUGUUCUUUAAUCAUUAAGGCGAUAAGGAAAGACGUGAUGAAUCCCCCUUACUGGGACAGGCUUCCAAGGGCCAGGUACGAUCAUGACCGACCUCAAUGUCCUGGAACAGAACAAGACAUGGGGCAAUACACAUUCAACUACAAUGAUCAACAUUAUCACCAGGACCACUAUAGAUACCAUCAAAGAGAACCACAAAGACCAACCAGGAGGAUGGACUAUGGACAGCACAGCAUUCCUUCUCCUUCUCCAUCUCCUGGUCUUAUUAGUUGCAGAGAACCAUCAGUAGAUCUUGGAUCAGACAGGACCGUUAUCCCAGACGGACCAUCAGUGGAAUUAGCUGAGAUAGACAAUGAGCUGGAGAGAAAGAAGAAAAAACUUGAAGAAAUCGAGAAUAGGAUUAUUCGGAAGAAAGCUGCAAUUGCCUUGAAGAAAAUCUUGCCCUAUUUGAGAAAAACCGAUGAGCUAUCUGACAAUCCAUUAGACGACCAGAAAGACUUAGCAGAGAGUUGUUUAACUACUACUAAUGAAUCUUCUCUGAAGGAGAGGGUGAACUCCAUUUUGCAGCUAAGGAAGUCUCUCGGCUUUCCAAAGAUGCACAGCAGAGACCCAAAGAGCUCCACAACAUAUGGGGUCGGCCGGCAGGAAGAUCAUCCCCUGAAGCUUCGUGUGAAGACACUGAUGGACAACAGAUCGAGAACACUCCGAGAGAAUCCUAGUUUUCCACCACCGACUGCCACCCUGGAUUCUAGGAUGUGGCAUGCAGUUGAUGGUCCGAAGAUGCAGCUCAACCCUUUGGACGUUCAUCAUGCCUUUUUUUAAUGGCCUCUGAUUGUAGUCGCUGAGCUUCCUUGCUGGAUAAUGGUGGACCUGCAUUAACACCCCCUCCCAAAACAGAGCCGGAGCCAACCUGAAUCCAGCCCAGUUUAUGAGCCGUGGCCUACAGAGGGCGGUCAGACGAUGCAGGUGGACCCCUACCCACCCAUGCCUCACGGGAGAUCACAGACUCCACGCCCGGCCUCGCCAUCCCCUGCGCCCCCACAGAGACCCGCCAUAGCCCGCGGCAUGCAGCGGUUU
ensembl:lncRNA